rnacentral:rRNA from 1 species
UACGUAGGCAGCGAGCGUUGUUCGGAAUUACUGGGCGUAAAGAGUGUGUAGGCGGUGCUCUAAGUUCGGUGUGAAAUCUCCCGGCUUAACUGGGAGGGUGCGCCGGAAACUGGAGUGCUCGAACGUGGGAGAGGAAAGCGGAAUUCCCGGUGUAGCGGUGAAAUGCGUAGAUAUCGGGGAGGAACACCUGCGGUGUAGACGGCUUUCUGGACCAUAGCUGACGCUGAGACACGAAAGCGUGGGGAGCAAACAGG